GACGAACGCUGGCGGCGUGCUUAACACAUGCAAGUCGAACGCUGAAGCUUGGUGCUUGCACUGGGUGGAUGAGUGGCGAACGGGUGAGUAAUACGUGAGUAACCUACCCUUGACUCUGGGAUAAGCCUGGGAAACUGGGUCUAAUACUGGAUACGACAUGUCACCGCAUGGUGGUGUGUGGAAAGGGUUUUACUGGUUUUGGAUGGGCUCACGGCCUAUCAGCUUGUUGGUGGGGUAAUGGCUCACCAAGGCGACGACGGGUAGCCGGCCUGAGAGGGUGACCGGCCACACUGGGACUGAGACACGGCCCAGACUCCUACGGGAGGCAGCAGUGGGGAAUAUUGCACAAUGGGCGGAAGCCUGAUGCAGCGACGCCGCGUGAGGGAUGACGGCCUUCGGGUUGUAAACCUCUUUCAGCACGGAAGAAGCGAAAGUGACGGUACGUGCAGAAGAAGCGCCGGCUAACUACGUG
rnacentral:rRNA from 1 species